UUGUUUUUGCGUUACCGACACUAUGUUCAUAUCUCAUUGUUUUGCUGUAUUAGUGUGGUAAAUUCUACUGUGUUGGGGGGGAAAAAAGACAACUAAUGCUAAAGAGACAGCAGCCUUGUUGGCAUUAGGCCUGCUAAUCUCUGACAUUACUUAGUAUAUUCUAGGAACGAUGUGUUUUCCCCGAACGCUUCAAAGUCUCAUCGGGUUUUCACUGCACGAGUUGCUUUGUAUCAGUCUUGUUUAGACCCCAUCUCUGCACUUUUAUUGGGAUUAACAGCUGUUAAGGUUGAGGGGAAACCAACUAUGUGGUUGGAAAUGGCCGCUCCUCUUUUGUUGCGUUAGCUCCCAACAUGUCUUCCAGUACCCUGUUAGAAAAUGGCGGCCGAGCACAGAAGCGAAAACAACAACCCAAGCCCCACGGUAGAAAUGUUUUCACCGCGUGAUUUCAAUCCUUAUGUGGCCUUGUCUCAACCUGUAACGGGUCACACAACUUGUUUUGUUGUGUGAAGUAACUGUUAAGAGUGAGUUGUAGCCCAACAGAGCAAGUGGUAACGUUUGAAAGACACAAGCUGUGCCCUACAUUUCCAAACUGUAAAGUACAAUUGUCGAAUAUACCCUAUGCACUUUUAUUCAUAGAGUGCCGUUUGACCUUUUUAUUUUGUUAAUAUUAUGAAUGGGCAUGUGAAAUUGACUUGUUACCGCAGAGGAGUUGCUAACACUUUUGGAGCCUGUGACAUUUAUCUAUUUAUUGGAUAAAAGGAGAAGGUUGUGUAUGUGCCUCUGUGGAAGAUGACAGUAAUAAUGGUCACUACCUGUACAAUGAACAUAAUGACUCUGUGCACACUAUAACAUAAAUGGUAUACUGAGGUUUCACAUGUGAUGAGAAGUCAUUUGUUUAUAUAGGCCUAGUAUAAAACAAAUAUAAUACGUAGUUGAUAUUUAUUGUGUGACCGUGGCAGCAGGAUUGUUUGAUAUACAGUUUUGUGCGACUGAAAUACAUCAAGAGCUUAAAUGAUGUUAGGGUGACAGGAGGUGCAUGUUAUUAAUCAAAUAAUAAAGCAAGUUAACUCCGCUUUAUUCAGUAUUAUCAUGGUCCAGUUUGUGUGUUUUAAUCAUCUAACAUAUGCAUUUGACUUAUUCUGUAGAAUUGGUAAAAUAAAUAUUUUUUUUAAUAAGUACAUUUUUUAUAUGUACUUUUAGGAAUAUCAAAUGGGUCAUUUUGGUUCCCGUUGCUCUACUCGUGUUGAUAGGAAAUAAUCAUGUUAUUCAUUGAUUUUGUGUCACUUUCUAGUUGUCAUACCAACCCUUAUCUGUCUGCUGUCUUGUUCAUAAUUCGGUUUGAAAUAUGGAAACUCUACCUUAAGCAGUGAAGUCGGCGGUGAAGCAGUAACAGAGCCGCAUAUUAAAACGUUAUAUCUUAUCACGUCCAGAAAACUUCACAGAGAACGAGGGCCAAACAGCGCCACUGGUCAGUUUUAACCAAAUAUGCUCUGGCCCAGCUCAGCUAAAAACACAACGCCAAAUCCGUCAGUGUGUUAGUGUAUCAUUCACUUACAAGCCUGCUCUUAAAGAUGUGAACUUAUCACAGGCAGUUGCCUCGGUCAUGGACUCACGGCAGUGUGUUGCUGCAGUUUAAUGCUGUGUGCCACUGCACGAUGAAUAUAGGGGGGAAACACACUGGAUAGUUGCUGUUAUUUUUGGCAUUAAAGUUUUUUUCUGGCCUGUGGAAUAAUACAGGAAACUGCUGAUAUACAUAUUAGUUUAUGCACUCUUCUCUUGUUGGAAAGUCACCUUUUCAUUAAGCAUAGCUCCUUUUUUAGGAAAAAGUAUCUGUCUGUCUACCAUACAGAAAAUGCCAACAUUUGACUGGUGUUGAUUUUCCUUUGCCUGUUCUAUAUCUGGCUUAACAGCGCUAACAUGCACAGCCUUAUACAGUAUACAGUACAGCUGGCACAUGGCUGAAUAGAGACAAUGACUGUGGAGCCACGAUGACUUGGUUGAAACCUGAACUCUGACCAGGCACACCUUUUUUUUUUACAAAGUAGAACUGCAUUGUAAAGGUAACCCGGUCAUAGAUAUGAGCACAAAUGGGUUGGAUGCCGAUUGUGCAUUUUUGUUUGCACGCCAUGGCCAUUGUAGAGUUCUAAUGCGGGAAACGUAAAAUUAAUUUUGUAGGCACCACAGAGUUGUAGCAAUGGGUUGUAAAACGAGCAUCAAUCUCGUGUGUGUGGCACUGUUAUAAGAACUUGCGGGUUUUGAAGCAAAGCUUUUCCACCUUUACUGUAAUGCAAGCAGGGACUGCUCAUUGAAUCUUCGCACUGGUAAUGCUGGCUUAAUGUUGCAGCAAAGUCUUGUCCGAGCCUGUCCAACCUGCUGAUCCGGCUGCCCCUCCUCCACUCUGACUACAACCGGGCUUACCUUUUAUACAGUGUACACCAUAGUUUCAGUCCUUUCCUCAUUCUUGCUCUGGUUUUUUUUCACUCUGAGUGAAACAGGUUCCUUUCUAAUAUUUGUUGUAAAACAUGUUAUGUUAAUUUAACCCACAGUUGAUCAGCGAUAAAACAUAGAAAGCUUCUUUCAAACAAAUUGAUAUGUUUUAUCCUUUCUGUCAUUACGUCACAAAAUGUUAUACUACAAAUUGUAGUUUCUUAUGAAAAAAAAAAAAGUCAUACAUUUUUGGGCAGUUGACGUUCUGUGAUGUACUGUACAUGCGUACGUAGCAGGAGGCAAACGCACAUCAGCAUAUGCGACCUAAACGCAACACUAGCCAUGAAUUGGCACUGCAAAGGACAUGUUGUGGAAGGAAGUGUUAUGUGCACUUGCAUGUUUUUCUGGUUCUGUAAACUUUCUGUGAAUCAAAUUGGGAGUUUUAGGAAACUGGGGGAGGGGGGGUUACAUUCUACAAUGAAAAUCUAGGCUAAUGCUUGUGAAUAUUUUACGGUAUUACAAUAUUUUUUCGUUCUCUGCAUGUCGAAAUCUACUACUUUUAGACAAAUGAGUAAAUGAAUGAUUCAGUAUUUCCCCACCAGCAUUUUAUUCCCGGCAGUGUGGAGAAGACUUUAAACAGCAUUGUUUAAACCUUCCUGUUGGGAAAUAAAACGUACAAGCUAACAGUUAAGAAAACAAACGUGUCAAAAAAGCCAAGCAGUUAAAAAAAAAAAAAGAAAAAAAAAAGAAACAGCUUUCCCCCUGGCCCUACUUUGGCACAGCCUCCUGGUGUUCUAACACUUUGAACUGUGUUUUGGUGUCAGAUAAACCUUGUAACUCACACAUCUAACCCUUGAACCAGACUUUCUGGAUUGUAUUGUAUUUGAUUUUUUUUCCUUCUUUUCUUCCACCUGUACCUGAAGUUACGUGAUGUUACACGUGCCCACACCAAUACAGCCCCCACAGUGUUUGACAGUAGUGUAGUCGAGGGGCAUGCAUCAUUUAUACGUAGCAAAGUACAAGUCAUUUAAUUGCAACACAGGCAGAUUAAUGUACACGUUGCCUACUUUUAACUCUUAGACACUCUUAAUCUGAUAAAUUGGUCUAUUUUGUUAAUGUCUUUCGCCAAUGUGAAAACUACAGUAUGACGCAUGUUGACCCAUUCAAAGCGACUAGCGACGUGGGCCUGGCCUGUGUUACAGUGGCUCCUUGAAUGGGUUGUUCUCUGCUAGCCUGGUAGCCUUCAGGUCUUAUGGUCAUGGCAACUGCUAUUCUAAAAGAAAUGCACCUGGUUUUCAUUAUGACAGCUUGAAACUAAUUCAGUUGUGUACUAUAAUAUUGUACUAAACUAAAGUGCAAAAAAAUUUAAUUUUCCCUUGUGGGAUAAUGAAAAAAGUACGUGUUGUGUCUUAUAAAAUGCCGUAAUGGCCAACUUUUACAUGCAUUCAAGCCAAAGGGUUUUAAAAGGGUUAUAUUUCCAUUUUACUGCUUAUAACAACACAGCUAUUUGAGUCCACAGAAUAUUGUAAUUAUCUGUUAAAUACACCCACAUGUGUUGCUGUUGAAAAACCAAGCCCUUUGACUGUAUUUCACUAGCUUAGCCUCAUAGAGAUGGAGGU